rnacentral:rRNA from 1 species
GUGCCAGCCGCCGCGGUAAUACAGAGACUGCAAGCGUUAUUCGGAUUCACUGGGCGUAAAGGGUGCGCAGGUGGCCAAGUGUGUCAGGUGUGAAAUCCCGGGGCUUAACUCCGGAACUGCGCCUGAAACUGCAUGGCUAGAGCAUUGGAGAGGGAAGUGGAAUUCACGGUGUAGCAGUGAAAUGCGUAGAUAUCGUGAGGAACACCAGAGGCGAAGGCGACUUCCUGGACAAUUGCUGACACUCAGGCACGAAAGCGUGGGUAGCCAAAGGGAUUAGAUACCCUCGUAGUCC